rnacentral:snRNA from 1 species
AUUGCUUCUCGGCCUUUUGGCUAAGAUCAAGUGUAGUAUCUGUUCUUAUCAGUUUAAUCAUCUGCCUAAGAUUUGUGCAGGUUUUCCUUUCUGUUGGAUGAACACCUGAACUUAU